CACUUUUCAAAUGAUUGAAAUCUUUAGGAGUAUCAACAACUAAUUUAGUAGUUAGAAUAUGUUACAACAAUAUCAAAUUUGAAUUCAAAAUACUCAAACUCUUAGUGUUAACUCUUAAUUAAGAAUAUUGUGGUACUUUAUAUCCUUCAAGAGGUUGCUUCAUCCGAUAUAUCUCAAAUAUUUCAUGAGCUUUGAGGAUUUCCAUGUACCAUAUAGUCUUAAUAAAUAUGCAUUUAACACAUACUAUAAGUUUUGCGUUAAAGUAACAACCGCACUUAUAGAAAUAUGGAUGCAAUUACGAUGAGAUUGGAGACUAAAAACCACAUGUCUCUCCCAG
rnacentral:lncRNA from 1 species